AACUCUCAACCCCCCUGUUUUGUAACGAGAUAGGCGUGGGCUUGGAUUAUGGCUGUCUGUCGGCGUAAAGUCGGCUCAGCUGAAAUAUACGAGCAACCCAUUUGAAAUAGACGGUUUGACUCGGCGUAAUAAUUAUUUCGCUGAGGACGUCUUCUUUAAAGUCAGUGGUGCUUCUAAUGCGUAUUAUACAUCAUAAGC
rnacentral:misc_RNA from 1 species